rfam:Ricinus communis cultivar Hale ctg_1100012362133, whole genome shotgun sequence.
UAUCCAUAGUGCGGGUAUUGUAAUAAAAGUUAUUUGAAGCGAUCUCAUGCUUUAUGAAAGGACUCAAUAUCCUUUUGAUAAAAGUUAAAAAUUUCAGCUCUUAAGUA